UUUUGUUGUAGGAGCUGAACCGGUGGCCAGUGACAGAUUCUCACUCGAGGCGAUAAUAAUUUGCGGAACGCUGGCUGCGUUACUCCUGAUAUCGAUUAUCACCUUCACUCUCAUUAUUUGCCGACUAAGGCGACUGCAAAGUAAAUAAACCGUUCCUGGUGUCAUAUUGAAAUCCAAUAAUUGGAAGAAUGUUUUAGCGUUUCUUACAUACACUGACCUCACAAAUCAUACUAAAAGAAUAUCGCAGAAUAUCAAAUGAACCGACUAUAAUAAAUAACAAUAUUACUGCAAUGCUACACUGACAGUAAAUCCCACAG